rnacentral:rRNA from 1 species
GUGGGGAAUCUUCCGCAAUGGACGAAAGUCUGACGGAGCGACGCCGCGUGAGUGAAGAAGGCCUUCGGGUCGUAAAGCUCUGUCAUCAGGGACGAACGGCCGGUGGAGUGGAAAGCCACCGGAUUGACGGUACCUGAGAAGGAAGCCACGGCUAACUACGUGCCAGCAGCCGCGGUAAUACGUAGGUGGCAAGCGUUGUCCGGAAUUAUUGGGCGUAACGCGCGCAGGUGGGAUCUUAAGUCCAUUUUGAAAGUUCGGAGCUCAACUCCGUGAUGGGAUGGAAACUGGGAUUCUUGAGUACCGGAGAGGAAAGCGGAAUUCCCCGUGUAGCGGUGAAAUGCGUAGAUAUGGGGAGGUACACCAGUGGCGAAGGCGGCUUUCUGGACGGUGUCUGACACUGAGGCGCGAAAGCCAGGGGAGCGAACGGGAUUAGAAACCCGUGUAGUCC